CUUCACUAAUGGAUGGAUUGCAUGUUAUUCUUCUUGUUCUUUUAGGAGUUGUUUCCUGCAGUCAAAAUGGAAUUUCUGUAUCAGUACUGGAAGUGACAGCCCAACCUGGAGACAACAUCACUCUGUAUUGCGACUGCAAAAUGACCAUUGGAGUACAUAUAAUAUGGUACAGGAAGUGUUCUCAUGAUAACACUGUUGUUUUACGGUACAAAUCUGCGUCUUGGUUUCCUUUGGAACCUUUGUCUCAUUUGCACUUUGUGAAGAAUGAGUCCUCUAAUUCCCGAGACCUUGUGAUUUUAAAUAUCACUGAUUCUGAUGAAGGUCUCUACUACUGUGGAACAGAAGAACAGCAUGGGGAAAAUAAAGACUGCAGAUUUGUUUACACAUAUGGAAAUUCCACAACAAGACUCAAAUUAGUCACUAUAGGAAAACCAUUAAUCGUGCAAGAACAGCGUGUCAUGGAUGUUGGUGUAACCCGUCUGUCAUGGAUGAUGAUGUUCACUCCAGCCUUUACCAUUCUCACCUCAAUCUCCUUUAUUCUGGUAUAUCACACUUGUCAGAAAGCAGAAAAGAAAUCGCAUCAUCAUCAGAAAAGAUUGAGUAUCAAACGACAAUCAAGGCAAAAUAUGGAUGAAGAUCUGUGUUUAACAACAGUUGUGUUCCUGUCUCAGGACGCACAAACACAUCAUUCAGAUGACAAAGAAGAAAUAAAUAACUAGCUUUGUCUUUAAGUUAUAUUUGUAAGGUUUACAAUCAAAAGUACACGUUGUUUUUUUUCAAUCUCUCAUUUUUGGUAACUCUGUCACUGUGUUUUUGUCAUCAUUCCUGCAGUCAUAUAUGUUCUUGGCUACUUCUUAAUUAAAAAUAUAUAUACACCGCGUUCCAAAUUAUUAUGCAAAUUAUAUUUUUCUCUGUUUUUCCUAAAUAGUCAAUUCAAAUGACAGUUGGCAUAAUUUUCGAGUCAUCGACCAAUAGAGUAUAUUUCAAAUGUUACUGAACAAAACUCCCAAUGAAAACAGUAUGUUUUUCAAAAAUAAAAAACUUAAAAUCCACUGUUCCAAAUAAUUACGCACACAGAGUUUCAAAAGAUUUAAUAGGUUGUAGAGAAUUGAA
ensembl:lncRNA